CUCGUACGUUCGAAUGAUUUACAUCUAGCGAGAGCAGAUUUUCCGGUUGGCCGAUAAUUGCUUGAAACAGUUUCGUGAUUUAUGAUCGUUGCUUCCUCUCGUGCUAUGUUAUUAAAACGAUUUAUUAUAUCUAAUUCCUUUGUAAAUCCAUCAUGGCUAAAUCGUAGUUUAGAGGUGAAAAAUGUCGAAAUAAUGUGAAAUAAAUUCCUUUUUUUUUAAUCUUCUUUCCAUCGUACCCGUAAUACGUAUUUUUUAAUCUAUUCGCAUGCUUCUUUUUCUCCGGAACUCGAAAAGAGGAUCGUGGAGGACGAUGAGGAGGAAGGGAGAUGGAGAAAGGAUGGUUUUAUCUGCAAGUACGCGAAUAACGGAGGAACGAAUCACUCGGAGAAAGGUCGCGAGAAGAGAGAAGGAAACGCGCGACGUUGCCUCCAAGAGUACUGGAGCAGAACUGAGGUUCACCACCUUGUGCCAGAGAGGACAACGGGAGGAAGAGGAACGUACCUUUCUGUGUACCAACGGAGAAGCGCUUAGUGUACACCAUAGUCGGAGAUCAACAUAUCAAAGUUCCCAGCUCGAUUUAGAUCGCAUUGUUUCUUCGAGUGCAAUGCUUACUCGAACGACUAGUUACCGUCGACCUCGUAAACUUGCCUACCUACUUGGGAAACGAACGGAAAAGUAUAGUUAUUGACCUUUCGAAUAAACGAUGCAGCCCACAUAAUACGCUUACGAUCAACAACGGUCACGUAACUUCUAGUGUGCGUGGCAUCGAAACGAGAAUUUACGCAAGUAUCGCGAGUGAGAGAAUCAUCUUUCUCGUCUUUGAAAAAGAUGGCAAUUCAUGAAAAACGAUAUUGUAUGCUAAUCUAAGAGGGGAACGUCGAACGGUAUCGUGUAUUAAUCUAAGAGAAAAAUAUAUAUAUUAUAUUUAAGUUACUUAUAUAUUGUAUAACAAAUUAUUAAUAUUAUGUUCGUCGAUUGAUAUCUAAUACAGUAUAAAAAAAUUUGAGGACGAAUCAAGAACUUUAAUUAUAAAUGCAUUAUAAAGAAAAUUAUUAUUAGGAAUGAAAGAUAUCUCUAAGAUAUCUAAGAAGGAACAGAUAGUUUCAUCUUUUCGAAUUACAGAUCACGCGUUAGUGGAAUGAUAAAGAUACACCUCAACUUAUUAUUACGUGAUAAAAAGUGUCGACUUUACGAUAUAAUGUUUUUGCAUAGAUCGCGUCCUAUCGAUGAUAUCGCUAUCCUUGAAAUUUUACAAAGUUAACUCGGUAGCUUCGGUAUCGUUUUAAUCAAAUCCGUCGUCGAAUCCCUUCGCUUUUCCGCGAAGAACGAAGAUAUAGAUGAAAAAGUCAGAAGGGAAAGAGUCGAUGAACUAUACGAAGUAAGAAAAAUACGUUCACUCGUCGCGAUCGAAAAACGUAGCUGCUGCCCUGAGCCCGGAAUGACUGUCCUCAUCCCUUUCCAUGUCGGAUGUAACAACCUUCACUAUGACGACUUCGAUGGUGAUCAAAAGAAAGAGAACCAUAAACGUGGCCAUAUUGUAUUUCUCUUGACUCGGAAUGGACUUAUCACCUUCGAGCAAAAGUGUCGAUAUUAUAAUGGAGAUGCAGGCCAA